GACGAACGCUGGCGGCGUGCUUAACACAUGCAAGUCGAACGGUGAAGCUCCAGCUUGCUGGAGUGGAUCAGUGGCGAACGGGUGAGUAACACGUGAGCAACCUGCCCCUGACUCUGGAAUAAGCGCUGGAAACGGCGUCUAAUACUGGAUACGAGAAGGGCCCGCAUGGGCACUUUCUGGAAAGUUUUUCGGUUGGGGAAGGGCUCGCGGCCUAUCAGCUUGUUGGUGAGGUAAUGGCUCACCAAGGCGACGACGGGUAGCCGGCCUGAGAGGGCGACCGGCCACACUGGGACUGAGACACGGCCCAGACUCCUACGGGAGGCAGCAGUGGGGAAUAUUGCACAAUGGGCGAAAGCCUGAUGCAGCGACGCCGCGUGAGGGAUGACGGCCUUCGGGUUGUAAACCUCUUUCAGCAGGGAAGAAGCGAAAGUGACGGUACCUGCAGAAGAAGCACCGGCUAACUACGUG
rnacentral:rRNA from 1 species